UUUAUAGCAUAAUCUAAUAGCGUUUAUCCAAGAAUGCUAUAAUAGAGAUCCAAAUACUUGCUGUCUAGAAGUUAAGAUAGCGGUCCGGUACUGUAGUAACACGGAAGACGUUUUAUAGCGUUUUCAUUUAACUCAAUUACAGCGUACACCCACAAUCUCGUUUGGUGGGAAACAAAAUCACUCGGUGGGAAAUCCCCAAACCUCUGAAAUUCCAAUCGAUGGGGGAAAAAAUGGCGCCUUGAACUUAUCAAUCUCAUCCUCCAACAGCCUCACAAAAACGAUCCCUUCCUUCAUCACAACCACUACCGCCUCCUCCUCUCCACCUCCCCGCUGCCGUCGUCGGAGAAUCUACACCGUUUUUCCGACUUAGCAUUGCCGUUUUUCUGGCUAGUUGCUCAGGUUUGAGAAAGGAGCACUAGAUUUGGGGGUUUUUUCUUAUCGGCACAGAUUUGGGGUUGAAGAGGCGAUAACCCACUUCGUGUUGGCUGAGGAUGGUUCAAUUACUGUUGUGCUAGGGUUUCAGUCCAGAUUUCGUUCUGUGUUCCACCCAAAGGUUUGGUCAUUCUCCUCUACUUUUCCAAAAAUCUAAUCUAAAUGGAUCUCUGUCUCCCACCCACUAUCUGGCUUGAUUUUCCGUUUUGGUUUCUCUGGGCUACUGUAUAUCAUUUUUCGUUUGUGUGCUCGCGCGCAGUAACCACUAUUUUCCUUCUUUGAAAUAAAAAAAAACCCCCUCAAUUCCCCUUUAAAGUUUUCGAGUUGUCAUUGUGUACUGAGUUUUGUUGUUUUGUCUCAGGUUCAUAGAAAUAUUUCAUGCUUUCACAUUAUUUCCCCCCUCUAUUUCCGUAAAUGGUUCCGAACAAAAAAAUUGCAUACAUGCGUACUCAAUGGAUCGAUAUUUUCUAUCUGACACAAUUGGUUUUUAAAGCCCCUAUGUGACUUGUUUUUUCCCCCCCUGGUUUUGUGUUUCUUUUUUCUUUUUCUUUUUUCUGGUUUUAUGUUUCUUCUUUUGGAUUUCUGAUUUCUAUAAGUUAAUUGUUUGAGUACUAGAAAAUAUGGUUGGGAAAGGAGGGUAUGCAGAGGUGUACAGAGGAACAAUAGAAGAUGGGGAGGCAAUAGCUGUGAAAAAGCUAACAAAAGAAUCCACAGAUGAGAGGAGUGUGUUGGUGAGAAGAGGUUAUAAUGAAUUUAGGUGCUAAAUGAUAUGGGUUGUAAUCUCUACCCAAAAUUUUUUGGUGGUCCAACUAUUUUUUGCUGUACAUGCUUGAUUCUACUUGAAAAGAGCAUGACGCACUCAAAUUCUUACUGCAAACAAAAGGAUUAGGAUGCGAAUAGGCUUAAAUAAGGUCCAACAGCCCUCAAAUCAACUCAAUAGGGAUUGAGUUUCAGAAGCCAAGCUUCGAAAAUAUUGAAACCCUUGAUUUCAAACUCAAAUAGUUUGAUUAAUGCUCGAAUAAGUUGUAUGAUACUCUGUGAUAGUUUACAGACACAUUGGAACAACGGCAUGUAGGUACUUUCAAUACUAGUAGAAUCUUAUUUUUUCUAUUAUGUAUUGCAUGACUCUAUCUGCAUCUGUGCCUCCUAGUUGGGAACUAAACAUGAUACUUUCUAAACAUGAUAGUUCGGUUGCAUCUACUUGCAUUAACAUUGUUUAUUUUUGUUAUACCAUAUAUUUUGUUUCUGAUCGAACCUCUAUUUCCAUACUAAUUGCUGGAGAUGAAUCAAGGCCAUAUUCGGGCAUAUUGCAUUGGUUAAGACAGAGUCAUUGAUCGAAGAGUCCUCACCAGAAUGAUUUCUUGCAGAAGAGUGCAUUUGUCCAUGACAUUUUGCAGAAGACAUAUGAAGAAACCUGUGGGAGCAAAUUAUUAAGAACGCCACGAUCAAGAUUUUGAGAACGAUGUUCAAGCUUAUAUUGGGGUACUUGCAGCUUGACAACCAGCUCCCUUUGACACCAAUGCCUGUGUUGGCACCUGAGCAGACCAUUGAUAUGCAUCAUCUUGUUUUCAAGAUGACUAUAACAAUUCGCAAUGAGAACC